AAUACUAAAUAAUAAUAAUAAAUACUUUAUAAAAGAUAAACUAUUCUCUAAGAGUAAAAGAUAAUAAACCUAUUAUCAUUGUAGUUGGUAACUGAACUUAACUAAUUUCCUAAUGGACACAGCAGAAUUGUUUGUUGUUUAAGCAAAUAUCAAGGCGUACCCCCAAUCCCUGUUACAGGGAAUAAAAAAAGUCUUCUUCAAAUGCCUUUCAAAACUAAUGUGAAUAUUAAAGUGCUACUGAUCUCUCUAUAUUCUAGAAAGAUCUCAGACUAACAGUGUCAACUAAACUAUUACAAUAAAUAGCCAUGUAAAAACUGCUCCCCUACUAGAGCUAUGCUAUCACAAAAUUAACCCCAGCAAUCUACAGUUCUAGAAAAAGAGGUGGUCCCUCCUGCUGAAAAAGAGAAAACCAAACCCUACAUAUUUUGUGAGUCAACUGAAAAUAAUGACAUGAACAGCACUUCACAUCCAUCAUGUAUUUAUAUCUUAACUGAUAGCUACAAUCUAUGUAACUAUCACAGAAAUCUUAAAUUGAACAAAAGCAUUAUCUAUCAUCCUUUCUCUCUAGAAAAAUACCAGUUUGUUUAAUCUAUCCAUAACAUUAGAAAAAAUACUUCUUUUAUCAUGGCCAAUCCUUAUGUUUUGGAAUUUUUUUCAAAAAUGUAGACAGUUCAUAAUGCUCUCAGACAGAAGUUACCACUACUACCCCAAAUAUUAAGUCAAAAUAUAACUGAAAAAAAGAAAUUUCUCUAGUAAUGAUUAAUUUAUUGAAUAAUUAAAAAUUAGGAGUUUUUGAUAAUUAAAUGUUAGGAAUAAUUAAACUUUCACUAAGUACUGGCACAGGAACUGAACAGAUGACAACAGAGAAAAGUUAAGAUUUGUUUUAAUCCUAAGUUUUAGGCUAAGGUAACAUCAAGGGCUCUACUUUUCAGUGAAAGAAAAAUUUCCUUUAAAAUUGUUUCUCUCUUCUAUUAUUACUUAAAAGCAAAGAAAAUAUUUUUUUCUAACAGUGAUUAUAGGAUUCUCAAUCUUUCAUAUUAACUUUUAGGUACUACAUGUAAGCUACAUAAAUCUUUCCCAAAUCUACCUUUAUUUAGUAGAUGAAAAAGCAGAUAUCGAACUCAAAACAUCUAAAUGUUGAUUUUCUAUAAUUAUAGAAGAUAUUUUCUUUUGAAAUUUAAAGUUUGUAUUUAGCAUAUUAACACUGUUUUAAUCUAAGAUUUAAUUAACUUAAUGUAGAAAACAACUGAGGCUAUUUUCUCUAUAAAACUAACAUGCCUUUUCCAAUUAACUUAGUUUCCUUCUUAGCAAAAGUUUAACAUUUAUUUCUGUUGAAUUACGUUGUAGUUGCAUAAUGUGUAAAUAUCUUAAGAUUUAGCCACUUCUAUGAAGGUCCUAUAUUUAUUACAACACCCCUCUUGCCCAGAAGAAAAUACAUCAACAAAAAGUCCUACUAUAUGUUCUGCAUUGACUAUUACAAAGCAGUAGGGGGAGCAGCCAGAGAAAGCUCUGAGACAAAGCACCCAGCAAAGCAAUUUAAUUUAUAGGCAACAGAAACAUGCUAGAGAGGUUGCCAAAAGCCAAAUACACAAAAUAAAUUCCAUAAAGAAGUCAUGACCACAUUUGUAAAGCUGGCCUAAGUACAUUUGGAAUGAAGUAUAGAAAAAUCUGAAGUCUCUUAGAAAGGGGCUGGAUUCUAAUUUCAAGACAGACUUUCAGCUUGAAACACAGUCAUUUCCAGCCAUGCCAAACCUCAAACUGCCCCCAAAAUUAGAGAGCAGAAACAAAAUACAUUUUUAUAGUGAUAUGUCUUGGGAAAAACUCAAAAUGAUUUCAUUUUCUCCUUUGAACCUCACCGAACUUACAGGGAAGGCCUGGUGAAAUGUGCAUUAUCAGGUCACAAGAGGAUAACGUUACAGGGUUCCAUAGCAUAAUCCUUGAAAGCCCUGAGGCCCAGACCGCUGUCCUGCUCCCCUCUCCACUGACUCCCAUCCCCGAUAUACUUUCCAUGAGAGAAAGAGAAUAGUCAAAAAAUCCAUACAUAUUUAUUGAGCCUCUCUGAUGUGAUAGUUGCUGUGAAAUCCAAGAACAUGAAAGAUUCAGCAGCCCGGGCCCAGGAAGGAACCGUAAUAACCUGCUGAGAAAAUCAGACACAUGAUCGGCUGCUGCCUAGAGACAGUGUAAGGGUACUACAAGUUUACCAACAGAACACAUAAAGCAGCGGCCACUCACUGAAAUGCCUAUAGGAGCCAGAUAGACCAUGUGAAUGAAUGAAUGGCAAGAAUGUGAAGUUGAUGGCUGGAGUCGGAGCAGCCAUAUUGGAUGAUGAGUUGAAUUUAGCAACAGAGGGUAUACCUCACAGUGCAAUAAGA